rnacentral:rRNA from 1 species
GAGUUUGAUCCUGGCUCAGGAUGAACGCUGGCGGCGUGCUUAACACAUGCAAGUCGAACGAAGCGCCUUAUUUGAUUCUUCGGAUGAAGGUCUGGUGACUGAGUGGCGGACGGGUGAGUAACGCGUGGGUAACCUGCCCUGUACAGGGGGAUAACAGCCAGAAAUGACUGCUAAUACCGCAUGAUAUAUUCGGAUGGCAUCGUCUGAAUAUCAAAGAUUUAUCGCUGAAAGAUGGGCUCACGUCUGAUUAGUUAGUUGGUGAGGUAACGGCUCACCAAGACUGCGAUCAGUAGCCGGACUGAGAGGUUGAACGGCCACAUUGGGACUGAGACACGGCCCAGACUCCUACGGGAGGCAGCAGUGGGGAAUAUUGCACAAUGGGGGAAACCCUGAUGCAGCGACGCCGCGUGGAGGAAGAAGGUCUUCGGAUUGUAAACUCCUGUUGUUGAGGAAGAUAAUGACGGUACUCAACAAGGAAGUGACGGCUAACUACGUGCCAGCCGCCGCGGUAAUUC